rnacentral:rRNA from 1 species
GUGUCAGCAGCCGCGGUAAUACGUAGGGGGCAAGCGUUGUCCGGAAUCAUUGGGCGUAAAGCGCGUGUAGGCGGUUUGAUAAGUCCGCUCUGAAAGUCCGGGGCUCAACCCCGGAAGGCGGGUGGAUACUGUCAGACUAGAGUGCGGAAGAGGCGAGUGGAAUUCCCGGUGUAGCGGUGAAAUGCGCAGAUAUCGGGAGGAACACCAAUUGCGAAGGCAGCUCGCUGGGACGUUACUGACGCUGAGACGCGAAAGCGUGGGGAGCAAACAGGAUUAGAAACCCGUGUAGUCC